AUGUUCAGUAAUUCCAAAAAAUGUUCUCGUUUUCAAAUGGUUGUUAUGUUCAUAUUUUGGAAAAAAUGUUCUCUUUAUAAAAAUCUCUUUAGAAUGACAUUCAUACAAAAUUUAUGUUUUAGAAAAUGUACAGGAAUUUCAAAAUAUGUUCUCACUUCCAAAAAUUUGCUCACAACUUCAGAAAAAGUUUCGUGUUCAAAAAAAUGUUCAUGUUUUCAUUUUUUCUGGAGUUUAAAAAAAUGUCCCACUUUCAUAAAUUGUUUUCUAGUUUCAAAAAACGUUUGUGGUUUCAAAUAUUGCUUAGGAAUUUCAAUGUUCGCGUCUCCAAAUUUUGUUUUGGAAUUUGGAAAAAUGUUGCCGUUCCAAGAAAUCUUCAUGAUUUUCAUAAAAGGUUCCUGUUUUUUUGAAAACAGUUCCAAAAAAAUUGUUCAGAAAUUUGGAAAGACUUGGUGUUUCGUAGAACAUUCCGUCUUUUGA
rnacentral:rRNA from 1 species